CCUACGGGAGGCAGCAGUGAGGAAUAUUGGUCAAUGGACGAGAGUCUGAACCAGCCAAGUAGCGUGAAGGAUGACUGCCCUAUGGGUUGUAAACUUCUUUUGUAUGGGAAUAAAAUGUUCCACGUGUGGGAGUUUGUAUGUACCAUAUGAAUAAGCAUCGGCUAACUCCGUGCCAGCAGCCGCGGUAAUACGGAGGAUCCGAGCGUUAUCCGGAUUUAUUGGGUUUAAAGGGAGCGUAGGUGGAUUGUUAAGUCAGUUGUGAAAGUUUGCGGCUCAACCGUAAAAUUGCAGUUGAAACUGGCAGUCUUGAGUACGGGAGAGGUGUGCGGAAUGCGUGGUGUAGCGGUGAAAUGCUUAGAUAUCACGCAGAACUCCGAUUGCGAAGGCAGCUCACUGGACUGCAACUGACACUGAGGCUCGAAAGUGUGGGUAUCAAACAGGAUUAGAUACCCCAGUAGUC
rnacentral:rRNA from 1 species